AAGAGAUCGGGAUAACACCUAGGAAACAGAUGCUAAUACCGGAUAACAACAGAUGAUGCCUAUCAACUGUUUAAAGAUGGUUNUGCUAUCACUCUUGGAUGGACCUGCGGUGCAUUAGCUAGUUGGUAGGGUAACGGCCUACCAAGGCGAUGAUGCAUAGCCGAGUUGAGAGACUGAUCGGCCACAUUGGGACUGAGACACGGCCCAAACUCCUACGGGAGGCAGCAGGA
rnacentral:rRNA from 1 species